ACCAGCCUGAGGCGUGCCGUGUGUUCUCCUGGGGAAGUUGUCCCUGGAUCCCGGGACCCUGGCAGUGGCGGGCUGCACAGGCUCCCAGGUGGGGAGGUGUGGAGAGUGACCUGUGCUCGCAUAUAGGCUUCUUGGUGGCGGCAGCAACAGCCUUAGCGUCUUAUUCCCGUCUCUGCGGUCCGUGCUUUUAGCCGCGGCUCACGCCCGUCUCUGGAGCUCCUUUAAGCAGCGCUCUUAAUCCCCUCUCCUCCCGCACCAGGAAACAAAGAGGGAAGAAAAAGUCUCUUGCCUCUUCGGCAGGUCCAGACUUUUCCCCGGGCUCCCUCCCGGCUAGCCGUGGUGCACUAACCCCCUUCAGGCUGUGUUCACGCCUCAAAGCCCAGUCCUCUCCCUGCGCUCCGACUGAAGCCUGAGCCUCAGCUCCCAGCCCCGGCCCACCCCGGCGGUUAAGCAGACAAGCCUGUCAUACUGAGCUCAAUCCUAUAAAUGAGGAUCAACCCAAAGCAGGUGGCAUGCCAUCAAGACCUUGGCCACUUUGCCCUUUAUAUGCAGGAUGCUCAUGUCGGCUAUUGUAACCAGGAUAAAUCACAGGCUGAGGAAUAUCUUUCUUGGCUCCAAGCUGUACCACCUUGGGAGAUGGUGUCACAGCUGGAGUCACACUGCUCCUUUGAGGAAUUCGUGUAGCUGUCGAUGUCCUAGAUCCUGUCCUUUUCAUGAUGCCAUGAAUAAAUAGGCCAGUGAAUGCCACUCCACAAAACCCACUUUUAUCCAGCUCCUCAGUCUUUGGGAAUCAAGCUACCACGAGGCUUUGAACUACUACCCUGCUCAAUUCUCAAGGCUACAGCUUCUACCAUGUCCUGUUUCGGCAAGGCAGUCCUUGUCUUCGUAAGGCCUGAGGCUGCAAACCAGUGCUCUAAGGAUUGAAUUUGAUUCACAGAUGGGAUUCUUCUCCAAUUGCUAGUCUCCACUACUCCCUACUGUUUCCCAACAAUACAACUGAGCAUCUGUGUCAUCAUUCUUUCACUGUUGCUUUUCCUACAUUUGUGGUUCACCUCCCAACUCCAAAAAUCAGAUUGUCCAAGUUUAAAUCCAAGCUCCACCACUUACUAGCUGUACGGCUUGGUCAAGUUGUUUAGCCUUUCUGUAUUUCAGUUUCCCCACCUUUACAUUGCGAAUACAUAAGAGACACCUACCUCAUAAAGGUGUUGUAAGGAUUAACUGAAUUAGUGUAUGUGUGACACUUAGAACCAUAUCUAGCACAUAGUAAGUGCUUUGUAGGUGUUUUUAUUUUAUAUUAUUAUUGCUUUAUUUCUUUAUUAUUUCUUUAUUAUUACUGACUUGACUUGUAUAAAUAUUUGAUGAGAUCCAUGGACCAGAUCUUUCCACAUAGAGGUCUUAGUGGGAGUUUUCUCCAAAGUAGUUCUACUUUCAAUCAUGUCUUACCAACGUUUUUUGUCUUUAACAACAAAAAAAUGUUUAACUAGCUCCUUAGCAGCGAGCAGCAAGGUCUAAUGGACUUCUUUUUAGGGGGGCAGAGGUGUGUGAAGAAUCAUCUUUCAUUCCUUUGAUAUGAGAUUAGUAAUUUUUAAAAAAUCACCCUAUCACAUUUUACCAGGCCAAAGAAAAUGUACCCGGUUUCUAACUCUGAAGUCUGUACAGAUUUCCUCACUCUGCCCCUUACUUAUGCCCCACCAAGAAGGUGUUUCUACUACAUUAAGAAACUGGCUAAAUUCCACCCCCGCAUCUGUUUCCUAAGACUAACUUGUGGUUUUUCAUUCCAUAUCACUUAUAACUCAAGGUAAUUUGACUUGCUUCUUCAAGUCUCAGGCUUCACUUGUUAGCUGGCUUGUCAAUCAUCCAUUGUCUGUGGUGAGUCAAAAAUAUUUUUCACUUGGUGAAUGAAAUAUGGAUAUUUCAUUUUAUUGAACCAUUUCAGGUUUCUAGAGUUGAAUUGUUGAUGUCUUGAGAUUCUUUGCACCUGCUUAAUUUUGAUACAUGACCUUUCCAUUGCUUUGAAAGUCAAACUUCUAAUGGGGAAGAUUUUAUUUUAAUGUACAUAUUGGCAUGUUUCAUAGGUUCAUAAGCUCUUUCUUUUAUGUGCAGAGAAUGAAAAUAAAUGAUCCUUUGACCGCCUGUCAGCCAGAGUUUCAUUUCCUAUAUCUAACCAUGUCCCUUAGGUAGAAAUGGCAGCCAGGGGCAGUUGGGUUUUUAUUUAUUGCUAUGACAUUUUGUACACAUUUGAAAGGAACCAUGGUUGUGGAUCUAGAAAUAGGGUACAUGCAGAGACCAGGAAAUUUCAGAAACUGACUGAAUGAUCCUGUGAUGAAAUGGGCAUAUCCUAAUCUAACUUCCUGUUGCCUCAACUUUUGAGUACAUAAAUCCCUGCCACUAUCCAGGGGAGGGAGGAAGAGCCUUUCUAUCAGACGGUACCUUUUACAUUCGCACUCUUCUCCAUACACUGGUCCUGCAGCUCACUUUAGGAAUGUGGAGACGUGGCGGGGAGGGGAGGUGGUGAAGAAUUGGAGAAUUCAGGGAAAGGGGACCAUUUUUUAAUGUGCUUCAGAAUGAAGACUCCAGUGAGAUAUGUCAGAGAACACAUUUGUUGUUCGUGGUGGUUGUAGUUGCUUAGUAGCCAGUCCUAGAGACUAAGAAGUUCAAAAGAAAAGAAAAAAAAUGUAUUAACUAUGUUCUAAGAGUUGUUUUCACUGCUUUACAGAUCUUAUCUCUUUCACCCUAUAAUAAUCCUAUGAGAUAAGAACUAAUUUUUGCCCAUUUUAAAGGUGAGAACAUUUGGGAUCAGACAGGCAAAGUAACUUGUUCAAGGUACCUGUUUAGUAAGAGCAGAACCAGACUUAAACCCAUUCUGUUUGUUUCAGAUCACACAGAGAGAGAAGUGAUAACCUAGUUGUUCUCAGGACUUUCCUAUAGUAUGGAAAGUUUUUACUGAUUAUUUAUGGUAGACUUACAGACCAUAUAAAAUUGCUAAGCUAUUUUUAGGAGUAUUUUUUUAUUGUUGUUGCCAUGGCUUUAUUUAUUUAUUAUUUUCUUUUCCACUAUGUUCUAUUACAGGAUAUUGAAUAUAGGUCCCUGUGCCAUACAGUAGGCCCUUGUUGUUUACCCCCAUUCUAUAUAUAAUAGUUUGUAUCUGCUAAUACCAAACUCCCAAUCCAUCCCUCUCCCACCACCAUUUCCCUUGACAACCACAAGUCUGUUCUCUAUGUCUGUGGGUCUGUUUCUGUUUUGUAAAUAAGUUCAUUUGUGUCAUAUUUUAGAUUCCACAUAUAAGUGAUAUAUGGUAUUUGUCUUUCUCUUUCUGACUUACUUCAGUUAGUAUGAUAAUCUCUAGGUCCAUCCAUGUUGCUGCAAAUGGUAGUAUUUCAUUCUUUUUUAUGGCUGAGUAGUAUUACAUUGUAUAUGUACAUACCACAUCUUCUUUAUCCUUUCAUCUGUCAGUGGGCAUUUAGGUUGCUUCCAUGUCCUGGCUAUUGUAAACAGUGCUGCAGUGAAUAUUGGGGUGCAUGUAUCUUUUCGAAUUAGAGUUUUCUCUGGAUAUAUGCCCAGGAGUGGGAUUGCUGGAUCAUGUGUACCACGGCUUUAAAUGCAGAUUUUAAAAGUUCUUCCUAUUAGUGGUUAAAAAUUAUGGUAAUAGUGAUGAACACAUUGCUAGUUAGGCUCUGGUGAAUUGUCUCCUUCAAGUAGUAGGGAUUUUCUUUAAGUAUGCAUGGAGAAAUGAGGAGGCAUAGAAAACUGUUUUCCAAAUUUCACAAUGAAAUCAGGUCUAUGGAAAAUUGGAACAUUUUUCAAGAUUCAACAAUAGGACCGGGCUUCCCUGGUGGUGCAGUGGUUGAGAGUCUGCUUGCAGAUGCAGGGGACACGGGUUCAUGCCCCGGUCCGGGAAGAUCCCACAUGCCGCGGAGCGGCUGGGCCCGUGGGCCAUGGCUGCUGAGCCUGUGCAUCCAGAGCCUGUUCUCCACAACAGGAGAGGCCACAACAGUGAGAGGCCCAUUUACUGCAAACAACAACAACAACAACAAACAAAACAAACAAACAAACAAAAACCACAAUAGGUCCAAGACCAAAUAGCAAUUCCUGUGACCUGGCUAUUUUAUCAUCCACUCAGGAGUAGGCGUCUGUGAAUUCUUUCUCUGGGCAUUCUAGUUCAACCAGCUGUGACCCAUACAGAGAGGUCACAUGACAAAACAGCUUUAAUAGAAGACAUUCUCUACAGUUGUUUUCCUCACAGGAGGGCGCUGAGGACAUGAUAGGUACAUAGAUACCUCCUCAACACAGCUCAAAUUUGCAAUUGAAAUUUAUAGCUAUAUUUACUGUAAUUGCUAUAAAAUAUAGAAAUGACAAAUACAAUUUUGCACUAAAAUCAUUAUAGUUUAGAUUGUCAAGAAAUAAUACACUUUUAUCUUCUGGUUGAAAAUAGAGAUUGAGGUUGUUCAAAGGCUUAGAGAUUUUUCCACUUAGAUUAUUUCUAAGUGUACCUACCAGUUCAUAAGAAUCAGGUGAACUUUCACCUCUACCUUUAGCAUCAACUAUUUUAUUUAAUGUAUAGAUCUUGCCUGCAAUGGACUGAAUGUUUAUGUCCCCUCAAAAUUCAUAUGUUGAUUAAAAGGAUCACACACCAUGAUCAAGUGGGGUUUAUCCCAGGAAUGCAAGGAUUCUUCAAUAUAUGCAAAUCAAUCAAUGUGAAACACUGUAUUAACAAAUUGAAGGAUAAAAACAAUAUGAUCAUCUCAAUAGAUGCAGAAAAGCUUUUGACAAAGUUCAACACCCAUUGAUGAUAAAAACCGUCCAGAAAGUAGGCAUAGAGGGAACGUACCUCAACAUAAUA